rnacentral:rRNA from 1 species
AUACGGAGGGAGCGAGCGUUAAUCGGAAUUACUGGGCGUAAAGCGCGCGUAGGCGGCUAAUUAAGUCAAAUGUGAAAUCCCCGAGCUUAACUUGGGAAUUGCAUUCGAUACUGGUUAGCUAGAGUGUGGGAGAGGAUGGUAGAAUUCCAGGUGUAGCGGUGAAAUGCGUAGAGAUCUGGAGGAAUACCGAUGGCGAAGGCAGCCAUCUGGCCUAACACUGACGCUGAGGUGCGAAAGCAUGGGGAGCAAACAGGAUUAGAAACCCCAGUAGUCC